UUCAUAGAAAUAAACAAGGAACAACCUUGUAAAAACCCGAAAUAGGAUAGAAAGUCGGGCUAUGCCCCUUUGGAUCACAAGUUUUGUUUCAUGUUUCUGACAACCAACAUUCAUUAGCAUAAAACUAGAAUUUCAAAUUUAAGCUCGACAUGAAGUCAUCUUAAGUUGAGAAAACAAAAGAUGUAUAAGAGUAAUUGCUACAGCGGAAGUCUAACAUAGGAAUUUAACUCUAGCCUCAGCUCCGUCCCGUCAGCACCGGCCAGCCAACCUGAAAACAUUUGAAAGUAUUUUUGGGCUAAGUACUAAUGUACUUAGUGGGCAUGCAUUUUUCUGAAACAUUUCAUAUUUUAAUAAAGACAGUUUAUCCAAUCAUACUUGACAUGACUUAGAAGGUUUUAAAUUGAAAGAAGUACUUCUAAGCAUGUUAAAACAUUUUCUUUCAUUUGUGCGCACAUGUCACACUCCCUUUCCGUUACUCGCUGUGAUCCCGGACCUUUUAGCCACCGACGGAUCCAUAUCUCCCGCUUUACUUGAACUGAGGGCGUAACCCAGUCAAGUUCCCAUUUGGGACCCAAUGCUCCGGAACACAUCCCGUCGAGCACCCUUAUAACGCCUCAUACAUGAUUAGUGCCCGAAUGGAGAUCAACCCACCGAGUCAGCUAAUAGGUGUACACAAUUCUCAAACAACGUGUUAGGUCAUAAGAGAACCUCGAUCGAUUAACUUAUGCGAGCCUUAAACAGAGCAGAGUGCACAAAAUAUUUUAUUGGAUAAACAGUUUUCAUUACAUUAAAUAAACAGUUUGCAUUUUCAUUGAAACAUUUUAGAGCUUAAUAACUCAAUCAUACUUUGUACAUUUGGAAAGUAAGCCCACCUGGUUAGGCAAAGCCUGAAGAUCAUACACAGUAAAAACCUAGUCUUUAGGGAAAAGUAGACGCUAAUCCUCCUGGUCAUCACAAAGCCUACAAGAAAUUCUAUUCUUAAUAGGUCUCGUGAAGCUAACUUAAUAUCUUGGGGAAAAAUGCUUAACAUUCUAUGAUUCAUCACGCCGGGUUUCAAAAUUUAAUGAAUAAAUAUUGAAAACUAAAUCUCUUGAGUUAAGAACACCAACAAUAUCCUUACUCGACUUUCUUUUAGUGUUUUAGGGUUCUAGCAUCCAUAAUUCGUUCCAUUAAAGACAAUCGAAAACCAACAUAACCUCGUGACUAACCACAUAAUAUCACGUAAUCACGUAAACAAUAAACAAAAAGAAAUAAAAUCCUCAAGUUUAGUAUCAUUAAAAUCACAAGUUCAUAUGAACAUAAAAGAAUCAUGCACCAUUUUUAUAACAUUCUAUACAUUUCAUUUUUUUUCAUGUAAAUAAAUAAGAAAUUCCAUUAUUCAUUUAUAAAAAAUAAAACAUUUUAAAAUCCAUUGAGAUGAAAUAAAACAUUUUAACCAUUUAAAAUACAUACUCAAAAAGCCUUGAAAUAUUAUAAAAAUGAGGGUUUAAUCCCAAAAUUUGUUUUCAUUUUAAAGUCCAUCAAUAAAUUAAAUAAAAUAACGGACCUCAUUUAAAAUAAAUAGUCCCAACCUUAAAUAUUAAAAUUUAAAUCAAGAGAUUUAAAUUCACUAAAAUAAUUUAGUGAAAAUUCAAACACAUAGGCAACACAAUCACAUAAGGCACAUAAGAAUCACAAUCAAACAUCAUUAAAACAUGCUCUGUNUAAACUGCUCUGUUUCAGAGGUCAUAAAAAUCGAAAUAUUAUGUUUUUAGAAAAGUAUUGAAGUCUAGUUUCGUUUAAAAAAAACGGUGAUGCAAAAUCCUUCAUGGAUUAAUAGAUAUAAACGUUUUUGUGAAGUCUACCAACAGUUGACAGAUUCUGUCAAGGAUUGUUCCAAAAUAUCUUUAAAAUACCAAACAUCAUCCAAAAGACAUGAAAUUUUGCAGCGACGAAAUACACAUAUCAUAGAUAAACAUACUAAAAUUUCAGAGCCAUCAAGCAAUGAAAACUCAUCGAAACAUAAGCUUGAAACUGCUGUAAAAUUUUUACAGAAUUCCAGUUUUAAUUAUCAUCCAUAAAUUGUAAAUCAAUUAGCAUGCUCAUGUGAUAUCGUAGAACACAUAUACGCAAUAAUAUUCAUUAUGCAACGUCCCAAACUUCACGAAUUUAAAUAAUCAUACUCUAAAAACUUAUACAAUUUUCGUGCUUGGAAAAAUACAAAUUUAAUAUAUAUCGAUUCUAGCAUACCCUUAAGCACAAAUAUCAAGUCAAAACGAUCAAACAAAAAUCGAAAGACAAGCUAAUAUGUGAAAAACGGGGCUGCCCUCAUGGGUUUCAUAGCUACGGUUCGUUCCGUUCUUACUCCCUUCAUUAAACAUGCUCAACAUCUACCCAAGAACAACAUACUAAAAUUUCACGACGAUCCGACGUCGUUUCAAAAUAAAGUCGAGAAUCGACGUUUUUCGACGUCGACGAAAAUCGAAAAGAAAACCAUCAAAACGUAGGUAGAGAUCUUACCUACUUAGAUACGUGUUCGAAAAGAUGAUCGGGGCUCGUCUCCGCACUCAAAACGGAGCUCAAAAGCUCCAACUCCAAAAAAAAUGAAAAUGCGUGAGUGAGUGUGUGUUUAGUGUGUGUGAGAGAAAUAAAAAAUGAAAAGUGAAGGUUUGGCUGAUACAGCCGUAAGUAAGAGAAGGAAAGGGAGUUGGGCGGUUGGGGGGUGGUUAAGGGUAGGGUAGGUUAGAUAUUUAGUCGUUAAAUAUCUCGUUUCGUCUCGUCUCGUCUCGUCUUAACGACUAACUACCCAUACUCUUCGUUACUCGCCCUCUCAACUCCUACUCACUUUCAUUACACUCGUAAUUCUAUAUAAAUAUAGAAAAUACAAGCUCGUUCUCGAAAUUCUGAUAAACGAGAUCUACACAUUUAUCGAGAAAUCCCGAUUUACUAUUCACUCGUCGUCCAAAAAUAAAAACUUUCAUUAUUGGACUCGUAUCGAAAAACUAAGAAUAUUUCUCGACGACGUGCACGUAAGAUUUUGAAAGUCGACAAAAAGACGAAAUAGCAGUAUUUUACUAUUCAUCGUCAAAAAGUCAAAAAUUUCAAAAACGUCUUAACGGACUCAGAUUUCACUUCCGAGUUCAUCGUUCCCGUUCAAAUAAUUAUCUCGAAUUAUUCAAAUACUCAAACUCAAAUACGGAUCCCACAUCAUCCACACAUCAUCAAAAGAACAUCUCAACAUCUUUUUAAAAAAAAACAAGAAAAACUUCAUAUAACUCCUCAUCUCUGUACAAGUAAUCAAACAAAGGAUACCCUAAUUACUCAAACUCAAGCAACUAAACACGUCAUCAAAAGCCCGGGUAUUACAGCUAAUCAUCAAGAUAUUCAUAUAUAUCAUCCCAAUAAUCAUCAAUCAUCAUAUAACUCAAGUCAAUUCAAGAAAAUAAACAACAAAAUUUCGUAGGGUCUCAAGCCCCAAAUUUUCGAAAAUUUCAUGGAAAUAAGUUGGGUGAUUUUCUUGCUCAAUCAUGAUCAUAUACUCACAUAUAACAUCAUACAAUCUAGAUCUAUGAAAAUAAGAUUCACUUACCCAAGAUUAAACAAAGAUCAAAGUUUUCCUUUUUCUAAAUCUUCAAGAGUAAGCUCCACGGUUCUCUUGGAAUUUCAAGAAUUGUAAGGUGUUUAAGUUUGAUUUGGUGGAGGAUCUUGAUCUUGGUGUGAAUUUAGGAGCUUUGGUGGUUCAUCUAUGGUGAUCUUUGAAAUAAAAUUCAAAAGAGAGAGAGAUUGAGUGAGAGCCGAGAGUGAAGUGUGAGGAAGAAAUGAAGUGUGCUUUGUCUUGCUAAGUGUAAUAUUGAUAAGUGUAAUAUGGAAUGUAGUGGUGGGGAGGUAGGAGUAGUGGUGGGGGAAAAAGAGUGUAGUGGUGGAAGAGUAGGUGGAUGUGGAAGAGUAGGUGGAGAAAUUAGGUGAUUAAAUAAAAUAAAAAGUCUUCCGGGUUGGACUAUAAAACUGUAAUAAUUCUUCAGGGUUUGCUAAAUAUAUGGCUCGUGUAAAUGCUCAAUUUAAAUAAAUAUGCAAUGCAUAUAAAUUUAAUAACUAAAUUUACAAAUGUUUUUGUAAAUCAUUUUUGUUGGAAUUAAAAUAAAUUCAUUUUCUUUAUAUCCGGCGUGAAUCAUCAUGACUUCUAAGUUCAAAAUUACUCUAAAUUUAGCUAGGAAAAAGCAGGGUGUUACAUCCCUCCCUCCUUAUAAAAAUUUCGUCCUCGAAAUUGCAUAUCUGGGUAAUCUAGUUUGGGAUACUAGACUUCACUAUCAGUGCGGCUACAUAGCUUGAUUGUUAUCGCAUCUUUCUAAUUGUGAGAACACCAUGUCUAUAGUCUCGAGAACUGGUGACAAACGAACUCAUUCUAAUCAUAUUAUGCUUAUCGUGAUCAAAGAAGAUCUUAUUGGGACAACUAUAUAGUACGAGUUUAUACAUUGGGAUGACUAAAUUGACAAUCACCGAGAUCUUAGUCAUGUGGGCUGGCCAGACCCAGCACAACGAAUCACUCAGUCAAAUGGGAGCUUCGCCCCCAAUCAUGUCAACUUCUUAUCUCUUUAUAAAGCUCUAAGUCAACUUUUAACUUAAAGCACUUACUUCUAAGUACUUCAAUCAUAAAUCUUUGGUAUCAUAUAGGUCCAUUCUAUGUCGUUCUAGCGGUGCUAUCACGACUAACAUUCGUAAGGCAUUAUUGGGUGGUUCUCAAACGAUUUGUAAAAGAACUCAUCAUUCUAAUCAUAUAGGCAGUGAACCUAAAAUGAUAACAUAAAACUUUCUCAUCAUUCAUUCAUACAUACAUACAAACAUAUAUUUGCUUUCUUUGAAAUUUUGAGUCAUAUGGACAUUAAAUGUCCCUUUCAUGAAAAACUUUGCUUAUGCCGGAAAGAUUCAAGGAAUCUAACUCGACCAUACAUACAUACAUACAUUGAUUCGUUAAGGGCUCGGGUUGUCCCAAACACGAAAUACAUUCAUUGAGUCGUUAUGGGUUCGGGUAGUCCCAAACACGACAAAAAGCAUUCACAUAGCAUCGUAAACAUAAGGCGCACAUUUUCUUGAAAACUUUCAUAACAUCUGAAAUACAUAUAUGUAUAUUUUUGAAACUAUUAUCGUACCUUUGUUGCGGCAGUGUGACGGCGAGCUGAGGGCUACUGACAUUCUUAGAAGUCUAGAGAUACUAUUCUAGACUCGACAUCAAAAGCUUAUGGUUAUCAGAAACAUGAAAGAAAACUCAUGCUCUGAUACCAUUCUGUCACACCCCAAUUCUUGAAGGAAUAAAUAUAAUCGAGGUGUGAAUAAUUCAUAGAAAUAAACAAGGAAAUACCUUGUUAAAACCCGAAAUAGGAUAGAAAGUCGGGCUAUGCCCCUUUGGAUUACAAGUUUUGUUUCAUACUUCUGACAACCGACAUUCAUUGGCAUAAAUUUAGUAGUGAAGAGUCUAAGCUAGGUCAAAUAUAUCAUUUGAAAUUUAACAUGAAGAUCUUAAGUUGGGAAAACAAAAGACUGAUAUGAGUAAUUGCUACAGCGGAAGUCUAACAUAGAAAUUUAACUCUAGCCUCAGCUCCGUCCCGUCAGCACCAGCCAGCCAACCUGAAAACAUUUGAAAGUAUUUUUGGGCUAAGUACUAAUGU
rnacentral:lncRNA from 1 species